AUGUGCAAGUGUGUCAAGGUGUGUGUAUCUGUGUGUCAUUGUGUGUGUGUGUGUGUGUAUGUAUCUGACACACAGAUACACACUGGCACACAGAUACACACACCUUGACUCAUAGUGUGUG